GAUGAACGCUGGCGGCGUGCCUAAUACAUGCAAGUCGAGCGAACGGACGAGAAGCUUGCUUCUCUGAUGUUAGCGGCGGACGGGUGAGUAACACGUGGAUAACCUACCUAUAAGACUGGGAUAACUUCGUGAAACCGGAGCUAAUUCCGGCUAAUAUUUUGAACCGCAUGGUUCAAGAGUGAAAGACGGUCUUGCUGUCACUUAUAGAUGGAUCCGCGCUGCAUUAGCUAGUUGGUAAGGUAACGGCGUACCAAGGCAACGAUGCAUAGCCGACCUGAGAGGGUGAUCAGCCACACUGGAACUGAGACACGGUCCAGACUCCUACGGGAGGCAGCAGUAGGGAAUCUUGCGCAAUGGGCGAAAGCCUGACGGAGCAACGCCGCGUGAGUGAUGAAGGUCUUCGGAUCGUAAAACUCUGUUAUUAGGGAAGAACAUAUGUGUAAGUAACUGUGCACAUCUUGACGGUACCUAAUCAGAAAGCCACGGCUAACUCCGUG
rnacentral:rRNA from 1 species